rnacentral:rRNA from 1 species
UACGGAGGGUGCGAGCGUUGUCCGGAAUCACUGGGCGUAAAGGGCGCGUAGGCGGCGCGGGUAGUCAUCGGUGAAAGUUCAGGGCUCAACUCUGAAUCGGCCGGUGAUACUCCCGUGCUCGAGCACUGUAGAGGCAGGUGGAAUUCCGGGUGUAGCGGUGGAAUGCGUAGAGAUCCGGAAGAACACCGGUGGCGAAGGCGGUCUGCUGGGGUAAUGCUGACACUGAUGCGCGACAGCGUGGGGAGCAAACAGG